UCCAGACCCAGGGCCUCUAUUUCCACAUCUUCACGCUCAGCCUUCACAGAAGGUCUGUCUGUGUCUCAGACCAAGCCAGAGAGUGCAAACUUGCUUUUAUACACAUAUUUGGAAGCUUAGGAACUGCCAAAGGGAUGAACAAUAAGAUCAUCCAGACAAGGAAAGGCAAUUGGACACUCCUGGGAUGGCCGAGGAUGAGAGGCGUUGAAGAAGCUUGUGCCUUUCAUGGAAGGUGCCCUUAGGCCAGUUACUACCCUUGUUCAACAAGCAGCCAUCUUUUUUGACCACAAGUGGACAGGAGUCUUGCUCUCUCUAACCUGUGCUAGAGGCAUUCAUUCUGUUGAUUUCACGGUUUACUCCUGCCACUGAUUCAACUGCUGGGAUUUCAACUUUCUACCAAUAAAGCAUUGACCUGCUGGAAAUGGAGACCCCCGCGCUAAUAAAUCAAGCACAUUUAAAAUGAGUUACCCUAAUGCUCAUUCAUCACAGCUGUAAUGCCAUUUGCAGCAGAGGAUUCGCCGUCCUGCGCAAACACUGCAGUAAAUAAUAACACUUGAACAUCUCUGCAUCAUUGCAAGUUCCAACACCACAAGCAUACGUUUAUUAAGGAGCCUUUAUUAGAUGGCGCAUUCUCGCCUAACAGGCCAGAUCAUGAUAUGGUUAUCUACCUUCCAAUCAGAAAGCCAGGCCAGCAGCCCCAGACACGGAACAUCACGGAUUCCAGUGCUGACUCAAAGAACAGGCAACAGACGAAUGGUUUUGUGAACGGUGCAGCCUACUUUCAUCCUCAGAGACAGAAAGAUCUCUUUCCUGCUGCUGAAAGUCUGAACAGAAGCAACUAAAUCUAUAAAAUAUUAUUUAAAGAAAUGUUCUUAAACAAGUCACACUUUUCUUUACCACAUGUUCAUCAAGAGGCUGAAAAGUCAAUGAGAGCAGCUACAAGGGAAAUGCAGAAAACCAAGACUGAAACAAGAAAUAAUUAAAAAAUAGGUCAAAUAAACAGGCCAUAGCACGCUCUGCCCACUCGAUGCCUUGUAGACACAGGUAUUCACUGAUGAACCAGCAUUUUUGAUAAUUUCUGGAAGAGCGAUCGAUGACUGAAGUAUGGAAAAGAACCAAAAUCAGGUCCAGGUUUUAAAGGAAUUCACCUUUAUUUUGAUUUCUUCACUGUAGAAAGUAUUGCCUCUAAUAAUGAAAACUGGUUGAUUUGCAAAAACAAAACAAAAAAGUGUUUAUUAAUAAAUAUAACAGACUUGUAAAAAUAUAGAUCAGACUGAGAAAAUUCAUUUUUGAUUCUUAUUAUAGCAUUGACAGGCCUCUUUUUAUGGAGAAGAAUAUGUAACCAAAGAGAAUUUAUCAGUCGUUCUGCAGAGGGCUUUACUUGGGACGGAUGUUAAAUAAUUUCAUCAGUGACAGGAAUGAUAGACAAGGACAUAUGUCUGCUUAGUUUAUGGGUAACAUAGAGCAGGGGGAGUAGAAUUUAAAAAAAAAUUAGAAUGCGUGGAACAAAUUUAACUCCUGAAUUUAAACAAAGUCAUCUAGUGAGAUUAUAACCCAAAAUGUUACACAAGUCCAUAUAUACAUAUGUAAAUAAGUGAUUGAACAAAUAGAGAGAAGAGACAAAACUUCUUUAGAGAAGAAUUCCAAAUAAUAUAUCUAGAUACUCUUCUCUCCAGAAGGUGGAGUUUAAUCUCCCUCUUCAACUUGCCUGUGGGCUAAAAUCAGUGACUUUCUUCCAGAGAAUAGAGUAUGGAAAGGGGAAAACAGUAAAUUUACAGUGGAGAAAUCUGGGAAACACUACCUUCACCAAGAGAUUAAAAUAACAUAGUGAUAAAUUGUAUUGAUGUCAUGUACUCCCUGAUAUGAUAUGAUAAGAGAACUUCACCUCUGUAUACCUCCCCAAAACCUAUAAUCCCAGCCUAAUCAUGAGAAAAACAUCAGACAAACCUAAAUUAAGGGACAUUUUACAGAAUACCUAAUCAAUAUUCCUCAAAAGCAUUAUGGUCAUCGAAAACAAGAAAAGACUAAGAAAUGGUCACACACCAGAAGAGACUUUAGGAAACAUGAUAACUAAAUGCAAUGUGGGAUCUUGAAUUGGAUCCUGGACCAGCAAAAAGCCAUUCAUGGAAAGAGUAGAGAAAUUUAAAUAAAGUCUGGAGUUUGGUUAAUACCAAUGUGCCAAUGUGGGUUUCUUAGUGCUGACAAAUGUACCACAGUAAAGUAAAAUGAUAACAUUAGGGGUAACUCAAACUGAGCAACAGGUAGAGGGAGAACUCUCUGUACUAUCUUUACAA